rnacentral:rRNA from 1 species
UACAGAGGGGGCAAGCGUUAUUCGGAAUUAUUGGGCGUAAAGGGCGCGUAGGCGGCCAUUCAAGUGACGGGUGAAAGCCCUCGGCUUAACCGAGGAACUGCCUGUCAGACUGGAUGGCUUGAGACCGGGAGAGGUGAGUGGAAUUCCCAGUGUAGCGGUGAAAUGCGUAGAUAUUGGGAGGAACACCAGUGGCGAAGGCGGCUCACUGGCCCGAUACUGACGCUGAGGCACGAAAGCGUGGGGAGCAAACAGG